UACGUAGGUGGCAUGCGUUGUCCGGAAUUAUUGGGCGUAAAGCGCGCGCAGGCGGUCCCUUAAGUCUGAUGUGAAAGCCCACGGCUCAACCGUGGAGGGUCAUUGGAAACUGGAGGACUUGAGUGCAGAAGAGGAAGGUGGAAUUCCAUGUGUAGCGGUGAAAUGCGUAGAGAUCGGAAGAACACCAGUGGCGAAGGCGACUCUCUGGUCUGUUACUGACGCUGAGGCGCGAAAGCGUGGGGAGCAAACAGG
rnacentral:misc_RNA from 1 species